rnacentral:piRNA from 1 species
UGAAUGUCCAAGACAGAGACUCAAACAUUC